CCUACGGGUGGCAGCAGUGAGGAAUAUUGGUCAAUGGACGAGAGUCUGAACCAGCCAAGUAGCGUGAAGGAUGACUGCCCUAUGGGUUGUAAACUUCUUUUAUAAAGGAAUAAAACGAGGCACGUGUGCCUUUUUGCAUGUACUUUAUGAAUAAGGAUCGGCUAACUCCGUUCCAGCAGCCGCGGUAAUACGGAGGAUCCGACCGUUAUCCGAAUUUAUUGGGUUUAAAGGGAGCGUAGUUGGGUUGUUAAGUCAGUUGUGAAAGUUUGCGGCUCAACCGUAAAAUUGCAAUUUAUACUGGAAGUCUUGAGUACAGUUGAGGUAGGCGGAAUUCGUGGUGUAGCGGUGAAAUGCUUAGAUAUCACGAAGAACACCGAUUGCGAAGGCAGCUUACUAAACUGUGACUGACAUUGAUGCUCGAAAGUGUGGGUAUCAAACAGGAUUAGAUACCCUGGUAGUC
rnacentral:rRNA from 1 species